CACGUAGGGUGCGAGCGUUGUCCGGAAUUAUUGGGCGUAAAGAGCUCGUAGGCGGUGUGUCGUGUCGGCCGUGAAAACCUGCAGCUUAACUGUGGGCUUGCGGUCGAUACGGGCAGACUUGAGUACUGCAGGGGAGACUGGAAUUCCUGGUGUAGCGGUGGAAUGCGCAGAUAUCAGGAGGAACACCGGUGGCGAAGGCGGGUCUCUGGGCAGUAACUGACGCUGAGGAGCGAAAGCGUGGGGAGCAAACAGG
rnacentral:rRNA from 1 species